AGUGGCCCACGUGGCCGGCCCAGUGUGAUGUGGGGGAGGGAGCAUUGCAGCCCCAUUUAUCCAGAUGCCGGGCUUAACUGCACACACGUCCUCCCUAAAGGCCCCACCCCGCAGGACCAGACCCACGAUCCCAAAUGAAACAUCUUUCCCCCGCCCCCGGCAGCCCGGGCCGCAUUUGGCCACUUGGGGGGGCGGAACCGCUGGCCGGCAGGCGGCGCUCCCCGGGGCUCCCAGUUCGAGCCCCAGGGCCCCGGGAGGAGCCAGGACCUCGAGCGGGAGGGAGACGACUAGGAGGAGCGGGGCACAAAGAGCUUUUUAUUCAAAUUUGUUUAGAGUUUCUCGAAUUUGCAUGAAAAAUGUGUGAGAAAAGCCAGCUCCGGUGACCUCAUCCGCACCUGCCAUUAACGUUCAAUUAGCCGCUGAAUAGCGGCAGCCGACGCGACGUGCAGAGAAUCUGGCCUGCCCCGCGCAGCAGGGCUCAGGACAGGGUGGGGCUGAGGGAGGGAAUGCGGCGAGGGCCCCGGGCUACUCCUCCGGGUCGGAGACCCAGGACCGCGACCAUCCGAGGGAACCCGGGGACCUCAGGACCCUCGAGCCAGGGCUGUCUGGAGCGCGCGGGGCCCUAGGACGCCGGGGUCCCUCAGGGCUCAGACAGGGGCGGGCUCGCCCCUCCCAGGACGGCAGGUGGCUGGACCAGCCCCGUCCCAACUCGGAGGGGCUUCCCCGCCACCUUCCGGAAGAAGCGUCAAGUACAAGUUCAAGUUCAGGGCCAGACCCGGAGGCGGGGGUUAGGGGGGGCGCAGAGCUCACCCAGCAGCCUUUGUUCUCCGGGAUCUUCGCUCCCACGUCCCCUCCCGGGCGGGGCCCGGCAGAGACCCCCGCCCCGCCCCACCGCGCCCCGCAGGAGCCUCCUUCUCCCGCCGGCGCGGCGCCUGUUCCCAAUCCCGGCGUCCCCACUCGGGGCCACCGAACGGUCUAGGGGCUCCGGGCGCGGGGGACGGGGGGCGGGGAGGCGCGAUACGAGCCCGUGAGAGCCUCCCCAGCCCCGCAGUCCCAGCGACAAACUGUGCUGGCCGGACGGAAGCCCGCGCGGAGACCCCACCUUGUCUGCCGGGGCCCAACCUGGGGCCUAGCCUCCCAUCACUGGGACUGCUGUUGGCUGGAGAGACACACCCACUCGUGAUCAGCGGACGUGGGCACGGAAGAGAGUGCACGUGCGUGUGUGCGCACGCGUGUCUGUGUGGGUGGGUGUCCACGCACACGUAUCUAAGGGGUUACCCAGCAUAUACCCUGAGCAGAUUUUCAACACCACCCCUCUUCUAUAAGACAAAAAUUAUUGUCAGUAAUAAUCAUGCAAUGAAUAACAAUAAAUGGCAGGCAGCCAAAUUUUUUUAUUGAAUUUUCUAUAUGGACUCAUGCCAUUUCAAAUAUAAAUAAAGAAAUAAUCAUUAUAGUACA
rnacentral:lncRNA from 13 species